rfam:Cephalotus follicularis DNA, scaffold: scaffold3631, isolate: St1.
ACGGCAUGAUGGGGACAUUUUCAAAUGAGGUCCUUUAAUCUUUCCCAUGACUCGUGGAACUGCUCACCAUUUUGUUGCGAAAAGCUAGUGAGAGCUCCUCUUAUCU